rnacentral:sRNA from 1 species
CCUGUCUCAGAAAUUACGUUUUAAUUAACUCGUUGGCUUAUGGAUUCAUUUGUAGUGUGUAUGAGAAGAAGACACGCUGUGUGCCUUGCCCAGAAGUGGAAGUCUGAACAGAAUUUGUGGGAGUCAGUUCUCUCCUUCCACCAUGCGGAUCCCAGGGAUAGACCUCAAGCCGUCAGUUUGAUGCCAUCCCCUACUGAGCCACCUCACCAACCCCCGACUUUGGGGAUUUGAAGUGAAUUUACCCCUUACAACUUUUGAGCUUCACCACAAGCUUCUGAAGCAGCCAGAGUUUCCCUGGUCAUUUUUAUCUUGCAGAAGAGAAGUUGGAACGUACAGGCCCCUGGAGAUGAGCUGUUCUCGUGAGAGCUGGGCCUCUUUCUAAGCCGGCACUCUGAGCACCAUGAUUGUGAAACCCACUGUCGAGAAGCAGGACAAGUUUGAGUCUGGUAUCUCUCGGGCGCUGCUCAAGCUGGAGAUGAACUGAGGUCUCAAGGCUCAGCCAUGGGACCUCAACAUCACCGCCGCCAAGGAAGUUGGAAAGCCAUCAUAAUUUUUGUACCAGUUCCUCAGCUGAAAUCUUUCCAGAAAAUCCAAGUCCGGCUAGUUGGUAAAGUGCCGUGGGAAACAUGUAGUCUUCAGUGCUCAGAGGAGGAUUCUGCCCAAGCCAACCCGGAAAAGCCCCGGAAGCCGCACCCUGACAGCGUGCACGGUGCCAUCCUUGAGGACUUGGUUUUCUCAAUGAAAUUGUGGGUAGGAGGAUCCGGGUGAAACUGGAUAGCAGCUGGCUCAUAAAUGAACAUUUAGACAAAGAAGCAGAACAACGUGGAGCACAAGGCUGAAACAUUUUCUGGUGUGUACAAGAAGCUCACAGGCAAGGAUGUUAAUUUUGAAUUCCCAGAGUUUCAGCUGUAAAGGAAAUGACUGAAUAAAAUGUCAUUCAUAGUAAAAAAAAAAUAAAUAAAAUAAUGUCUGCAUUAA